CUGAAGACUCUGAGGCUGGAGGAUGAAAAACACUGGAUUAAAGCUGACAGCCUGAGAAAAUAUGCCCGUCAUCUCACACUGGAUCCAAA